GCGUGCUCAUGUCCGCUGCGUCAAUGUAGAGAGCAUGGAGGACAAUCAGCAACAAUCAAACUUUCCUGUGGAACCGACAACAACUCUCUGUCCACAGCAACCCCCUCCUAGACCACGGUGCUGGGUAGCAGGAAGGUUCUUGUAGACGGCACGGCUGUAAGGGAUAAAACACAGGCCCAGCUGAAGGUGACGUGCAAGCCGGCAGUACGCAGCCAAAGCCAGAACCAGGAGUGGAGUCACCAGCAAGAAACCAACUACCAGCAACGCCACACAACCACCAUCGGUCUUACCGUUGAAUGGCAGAGAAAGCCGAACACCACCAUGACAAUAGCAGGCGUAAGGAUCAUACCAAAAACCAACCCAGCCAGGCAGGCAUUAAUGGUCGCGAUCACCAGGUUCUGUGCCGUCACUAACACCGAA